AAAUAGCUUUCCACCAACCGCCAUUGUUCGUGGCAGUUUGUGGCGUCCUGAAGCUAGAUUUGGCUUGAAAAUGGCGUUCCCUAAAGAAAAUAAGAAUAGGAUAGGUUACGAUAUGAAGGGCAGCUUUAGUAAAUGGAAAAACGGAAAACAAGAACUUGAAAGUGCCGUGUAACCAUAAUUUGAAGAAAAUUGAGUCAAAAAAUCAAGAGCCUGAAGAAAAGCGAGGACCAAUUGACAUCGUUUCUCUUAAAAAUUCAAGAUCUCGAUAGUGCAAAGUUGGUUUGGACCACAAUAGUCCUACCCAAAAAAUUUACACCAGGAACCAUGCUUCCAAUUCUGAAAGAACUGCAAGAUCGUCUAGCAGCUAAGCUGUCAUAAUUCACAGGAAGAAAAUGAAACCCUAACUAGAACAGAAGUUAAAUAAAUUGAAGAAGAAAAAAUUAAAAGGGAAAAAUAAGAAGGUAGCCGGUGAAAUAGGACUGAAACCAAAUAGGACUGGAGAAAUAGGACUGAAAAUUUUCAGUCCUAUUUCUACCGGAGAAAUAGGACUGGGAGAAAUAGGACUGACUUUUAAAUACUUUUAGGACAGUCCUAUUUCUCCACGCCAUCGGUCCUAUUUCUCCUUGGCCUCAGUCCUAUUUCUCCUUAGAAAUAGUCCUAUUUCUUUUGUUUUGUUCCAAUAGGAACGAUAUGCCUCCAAUCCGGUAGGCAACAUAUUGCGUCAGAGCGUCGGCUUAUAUCCAUUUCCCUUUGCAAAAAACCGAUGGUGUUAACGCGUUACUUAAAUGGUUCACCAAACAUUUAUCUCUUAUCAUAUUUUAAUUUAAAUUGCAGAGUACCCUGAAACAUACUAUGUCUAAUAUAGUUCAUUUAGUAAAAUACUACAACGGCUACACCAGAAAUAUUUAUUACAUUUUUCUUACUUUUUAGUGCAUAAAAUGUUUUCCAGUUGAGUGCAACUGGGAAAGUUAAUUACCCUAAUAAAUUGAGACAAAAUUAAUAAACAAUUCUGUUUUAGUUUUAAUUGUAUUUUAUUCAAUGAACUGUAUUAAAUACAACAUAUUCCAUGUGCACCAGCGAUUAUAAUUAAAAUAUGAUAAGAGAUAAAUGUUUGGUGAACCAUUUAAGUAACGCGUUAACACCAUCGGUUUUUUGCAAAGGGAAAUGGAUAUAAGCCGACGCUCUGACGAAAUAUGUUGCCUACCGGAUUGGAGGCAUAUCGUUCCUAUUGGAACAAAAUAAAAGAAAUAGGACUAUUUCUAAGGAGAAAUAUGACUGAGGCCAAGGAGAAAUAGGACUGAGGCCAAGGAGAAAUAGGACCGAUGGCGUGGAGAAAUAGGACUGUCCUAAAAGUAUUUAAAAGUCAGUCCUAUUUCUCCCAGUCCUAUUUCUCCGGUAGAAAUAGGACUGAAAAUUUUCAGUCCUAUUUCUCCAGUCCUAUUUGGUUUCAGUCCUAUUUCACCGCCAAUCAAUAAGAAAAAUGACUUCCAAAAUUGUGAAACUUUCAAAAACCACCAAGGCAGCAUCUGUGUCAGCAACCUCUGAUCAUACAGAGUUUCUCAAAUCAGAAAUUUCUAAGCCAAGAAUAACAAGUACACUGCCAAAGCCAAUUUUUAACAGUGAAGGCUGCCUGGUUUGCAGCAAAUUUGGUUUUGGAGAACUAAUUACUCCUUUACCCAUUCUGAAAAAGACCUCUUUCGAUCCAAAAGCAGCAAUGAUUAAAAUAAAACAAACGUCAAAGAAAAAGUGAAAAUCUUGGAAGGCAAAGGUGAAGUUGAGAAGGCAAGAAGCAUUGAAGGGAAACAGGCAUGGGAAGGUUCUCUGCAAAGAGCUGAAGGUGUUAGGGUAAAUGACGAUGUGAAUUGCUUGCUAAAAAAUUUUAAAAACGCGAUAAAACCAAAUCACAAAGUAAAAAUAAGUGGACCAAUGCAUUGAAGAACAGAAAAGGAGAAAAGCUAACAUUAAGAAACAUGAAAAGAAAGAACCCAAACUAAUGAAAUAAGGCCAAUUUAUCGUAUUAAUGAGCGAUACUGACUCUUGGAUGAGUUAACUCGUGUUCUAUUAUGUCCAAAACGUGUUAUAGUUUUGUAUUAAAAUACACUGGCAUGCUUUCCAUGU